rnacentral:rRNA from 1 species
GACGAACGCUGGCGGCGUGCUUAACACAUGCAAGUCGAACGGAAAGGCCCUGCUUUUGUGGGGUGCUCGAGUGGCGAACGGGUGAGUAACACGUGAGUAACCUGCCCUUGACUUUGGGAUAACUUCAGGAAACUGGGGCUAAUACCGGAUAGGAGCUCCUGCUGCAUGGUGGGGGUUGGAAAGUUUCGGCGGUUGGGGAUGGACUCGCGGCUUAUCAGCUUGUUGGUGGGGUAGUGGCUUACCAAGGCUUUGACGGGUAGCCGGCCUGAGAGGGUGACCGGCCACAAUGGGACUGAGAGACGGCCCAGAAUCCUACGGGAGGCAGCAGUGGGGAAUAUUGCACAAUGGGCGGAAGCCUGAUGCAGCAGCGCCGCGUGCGGGAUGACGGCCUUCGGGUUGUAAACCGCUUUCGCCUGUGACGAAGCGUGAGUGACGGUAAUGGGUAAAGAAGCACCGGCUAACUACGUG